rnacentral:rRNA from 1 species
UACAGGGGGGGCAAGCGUUGUUCGGAAUUACUGGGCGUAAAGGGCUCGUAGGCGGCCAACUAAGUCGGACGUGAAAUCCCUCAGCUUAACUGGGGAACUGCGUCCGAUACUGGAUGGCUUGGAUUUGGGAGAGGGAUGCGGAAUUCCAGGUGUAGAGGUGAAAUUCGUAGAUAUUCGGAAGAACACCAGUGGCGAAGGCGGCUCUCUGGACCGAUACUGACGCUGAGGCGCGAAAGCGUGGGGAGCAAACAGG